rnacentral:lncRNA from 1 species
AAGAAAUUGGAAAGAAGAGAGAACUAAAUCUUAGUACAUUAGGAGCUUUAUUUCCCUGAGGAAUAUUAGGAAGCUAAAGAAGGAAUAGAGUCAUCUCAUGCCAAUCCAUAAUAGCUCCUGGGGAAGUAUAGGGUGAUCUUCGUAUUUCUCAUCAGCCUUCUCAUCUUCUUCAACCAUUUAGUGAUCAGUGGGUUCUAAGGAAGGAAUAACGUUUAUCUCUAUGUUUUGGAUCAAAAUUCAUUAUGCCAUAAAAACAACAGGUAUAUUCAGCUGCUUUGGACACUAAGGACACUGUCACCAAAUAAUAGACUCACUGAUGAUUUAUAGAGUGUGAAAACAGUCUAACCCUGGAGUAAGAAGAUACAUUGGGAUUUACUCUUCUGAGAUUCUGAUCUGUCCCCUCUUAGUUGCUUCCAGUUAAAGGAAACUAUUAAUUGAUUUCUUUUUAGAGGUAGACCUAACUAUAAGAAUAAUCAGCUAUAUUUUGGAAUCAGUAGAGAAAUCAGCAUGAAUUUUCUUUCACCAGUAAAAACGUUCUGUUUGUGCUCCCCAACAAGAGGAUGAACCACUGGAUGUAUGAUAUGUCUCUAAAAGCAUUUUAACAAGGUCCAUUACAAUUUCUAAUAUAAUUCUCUUGUUAAACAAAUCACUUGGCUCAUGGCUCACAAUUAAGGACCCAUAAUAACAAUAUAAGAAGGAAAAGUUCUAAUAAUUCUCAGAAGAUCUUCAUGUACACUAUGAACAAAGACCUUUGAGAUUAAUUAACUAAAUUGUAGUGUUUUAAGUGAGUACCUUAGAUAGCAU